CCUGAUGGCUCAGAGGUUAAAGCAUCUGCCUGCAAUGUGGGAGACCUGGGUUCGAUCCCUGGGUCAGGA
rnacentral:tRNA from 1 species